rnacentral:tRNA from 1 species
CGGGGAAUGGCGCAGUUGGUAGCGCACCUGCUUUGGGAGCAGGAAGUCGCUGGUUCGAGUCCAGUUUCCCCGA